ACAGAGGUUAAAUGAUUUAUCCAGGAUCACUCAGCUAGUAUGCACAUGAGGCUGGAUGAAAUCACAUCUUCCUGAUUCCAGGAAAGGCACUCUCUCCAUUGCAUCACCUGCCAAUAGACUUCGGAGGGCAAUUGGCCCAUCCCAUUAAAUUUCUAGGAAUAUAGGGAAACUGAGAUGUAGUGAAGAAUGAAUACCUCAUCUGCUGCCCCUAGGAGAUUAUGUACUACCAUGAUAGUGAGACUGUGAGACAACUACUGACUGCAGGAAGAUCAAUCAAAAGUUGCAAUCCAUUCAGGAACAACAGAAAGACUGCAGUGCCUUAUGUUACAUGAAGCCCUUGGCUGGAGGAACUAAAUGAUUUUUACAAACAUUGCUUCAAGAACAAAAAGGAUGCCAACAAAGAAAUGUGUGCCCAGGGAAGGAAGAUAGGCUGGCCAUGUGGUUGUUGUGAUGGAUUACCAACAGACAGCUGCCUAAAUGCUACAUCACUACCUUGUCAUGUCAGGAGAAGUUGAGGAAAAUCCCCAGUCUGGUGUGCAGGACCUGGCAUGACAAAGUUUUGAAAGGACAUGGACAAGAGUCAGAAUGGACAGGCAUGGAUGAGCUGUUAACGAUUUUAAAUUAAAAUAAGCAGUAAACUGAAAGAAAGCUAUGGACUACAGAAAUCAUGGGUCAAAGACAAGGUAUCUGUCACCAGUCCCUCAUGUAAAUGAAAAUGGGCAGAAUGACUUCAGCUCAAUUUGAACUUGACAUAUGGUGGACCCUAAACAUUGGAUGAUGACUGGAAGGCAAACAAGAAUGAGAAAAAAAUAAGACAAGGGUAAAUCCACAAGCAAACAAGUAUGAAUAAGAUUAUUAUGGGAUACAAAGGAAGAGACACUGUCAUAAAAGGAAUUUGCAAUAGAUGAGGCUGAAUAAAGGGAGGUACUGGAGUGACUAAUAUCCAUAAUUUGUUUAUGUAAUGUUUUUAGAUUAACAGAAAAUUCUGAAAGGUUCCAAAUUCCAAAAAUGUGUUGUUAUAUCUUCUCUCAAGGAACAUCUGAUUGAUUAUAAGGAAGGGGAGAAACACAAAUUAUUCACUUACAAUCAGCAUGGCAUUUUGAUUUAAAUCUCACUUUUAUAUUUUGUAACUGAUUUCCAAUAUAAAGAAUGGCCUCUUCUAGGACAUUUAUGUGGGCUUCUAACCCUUUGUCUAUGUGUUCUUCAGUUAAAAGGGCAAGAGAGAGAUUUUUUGAAAGGUUGUCUACACAUUUCAUAGUGUGUACUGUUUGAACAAGAGCUGUGGUUGAUGCAGCCAAUGACUGACAUAAGAGCAGUGAUACCCAGAAUAAGAGAUGCAAUAAAGUGCUUGGUGCUACUUAAAUUAUUGGACAUUAAUUGUAAGGCAUAAAUGCCUGAAUCAUCAUACCAGUCAGUAGUCAUAUUAACAGGAAGCAUGAUAAAAGGUGGUUGCUUAACAACAAAUACAGUGGUAGCAGAGAUGGAGGGGUUAAUACAAUUUGUCAAAUACAUCCUGAGCAAGAGAUUUUAAAAGUUGUAGGGGAAUUACGUUGUAAAGAUGAGGAGCUGUUGUUUGUUUGAAUAAGCAAUGCAUAAGGGGACCUGAUACAGGCAUUAAUGGAUCUAAGAUCUUUCUUGUCACUGGGACACAAUAAAACAGCAGGGCAGAGGGAAGCAAUUAGUCUCCAUAAAGAGUAGUGAGUAAUAGGAGAUGAGGGGUUUUCAAAAAAGACCAAAAGGACUGAAAGCCAUUCGGGACCAUACCAGCGAGCAAUUGGUUCCUCAGUGGGAAAAACUUGAUUAAUUUUUGUCCAAUUAAGAUUGGAGGAACCAGCUAUGGAAUCUUGAAACCCUCUAAAAUCAAAAUUGGGGCUAAAAUGGGCCAGUCCUAGAUGUACAAUGAAUCAUUAACAAUAGGGUAUUGGACACCCUUGUGGGGGAAUCCACAUUCUCUCCAUGGGGGGAUUCCAUAUCUUUCAUCAAUUUGAUACCAAGGUUUGUCUGAGAUAUGUUUGUACUCAGAAAUAUUCUCAGGGGAUGUACAGGAGUCAUUUGAACAAAGAAUAUAUUUAAAGAAGAGACAGGAGAUAAAAUAUGAAGCAACCAUAUAUGUCUUGUGUUAUCUUUACCAGGACAGUCAGUGAGAUAUCUCCACAUCUUUAGAAUAUUUUUCCAUGGUUACAUGAUUUAUGAUUCUCUCCCCACCCCAGCUCUUACAAAUAUUUCUUAACUCCAUCUAUUAU